UCUAAAUGUCAAUUUUGAAAUUUACUUUGUGAACCCAAAAGUUUUUGAACUUUUAUUUUCAAAACGCUCAAUAUGAAAAAAUAAUCACUCAAGGUGACAGCUGUGUUCAAUGAUACGAAAGAAACAGCAAUAUUUUUGUUUUGUUGACAUAUUUUCACACUUGCUCGCACGCUUAAGAAAUAUAGUUGUAGAUAUUUAUGUAUUUUGUAUUUCUGGCUUCAAAAACCAAGUAAUCGUUCGGAUUUCCAGCAUACAAAAUGGGAAGAAGACGAUCUCGAGAUCACUGUUCAUUCAGGGCCUUCACAUUUCAUCUUGUUUGUACCGCAAGUACCACCAGAAUACCGUUGAUGGAGCAUCUUUGCUUAAUAUUUCCAAAACUAAUCCGGGAUCCGGGAAUCCUAAGAGUACUGGAGCUGUGAAAAAAUGGAAAUAACUGCCAACAUGCUCAGAAGACACCGCAUAUCAAAUCCUCAUCGGCAUUGAUUCCGGCUGAUAGCAGAACAAGCAAUAUCGGUAAUAAUAAUAAAUAUUUUCGAAAAACUCAAA